rnacentral:rRNA from 1 species
AUUGAACGCUGGCGGCAGGCCUAACACAUGCAAGUCGAACGGUAACAGGAAACAGCUUGCUGUUUCGCUGACGAGUGGCGGACGGGUGAGUAAUGUCUGGGAAACUGCCUGAUGGAGGGGGAUAACUACUGGAAACGGUAGCUAAUACCGCAUAACGUCGCAAGACCAAAGAGGGGGACCCUCGGGCCUCUUGCCAUCGGAUGUGCCCAGAUGGGAUUAGCUUGUUGGUGGGGUAACGGCUCACCAAGGCGACGAUCCCUAGCUGGUCUGAGAGGAUGACCAGCCACACUGGAACUGAGACACGGUCCAGACUCCUACGGGAGGCGGCAGUGGGGAAUAUUGCACAAUGGGCGCAAGCCUGAUGCAGCCAUGCCGCGUGUAUGAAGAAGGCCUUCGGGUUGUAAAGUACUUUCAGCGGGGAGGAAGGGAGUAAAGUUAAUACCUUUGUUCAUUGACGUUACCCGCAGAAGAAGCACCGGCUAACUCCGUG